rnacentral:rRNA from 1 species
CCUACGGGGUGCAGCAGUGGGGAAUAUUGCACAAUGGGGGAGACCCUGAUGCAGCGACGCCGCGUGAGUGAAGAAGUAUUUCGGUACGUAAAGCUCUAUCAGCAGGGAAGAAAAUGACGGUACCUGACUAAGAAGCCCCGGCUAACUACGUGCCAGCAGCCUCGGUAAUACGUAGGGGGCAAGCGUUCUCCGGAUUUACGGGGGGUAAAGGGAGCGUAGACGGCAGCGCAAGUCUGGAGGGAAAUCCCAUGGCUUAACCAUGGAACUGCUUUGGAAACUGUGCAGCUAGAGGGCAGGAGAGGUAAGCGGCAUUCCUAGUGUCGCGGUGAAAUGCCUAGAUAUUAGGCGGAACACCAGUGGCGAAGGCGGCUUACUGGACUGUAACUGACGUUGCGGCUCGAACGCGUGGGGAGCACACAGGAUUAGAUACCCGAGUAGUC